UACAGAGGGUGCAAGCGUUAAUCAGAAUGACUGGGCGUAAAGGGCGUGUAGGUGGUUGACUAGGUUUGAUGUGAAAUCCCCGGGCUUAACCUGGGAAUUGCGUCGAAAACGGGUCGACUCGAGUGAGAUAGAGGGUUGUGGAAUUUCCGGUGUAGCGGUGAAAUGCGUAGAUAUCGGAAAGAACAUCAGUGGCGAAGGCGACAACCUGGAUCUUAACUGACACUGAGGCGCGAAGGCGUGGGGAGCAAACAGGAUUAGAUACCCUGGUAGUCCACGCAGUAAACGAUGAGAACUGGCUGUGAUGUGUAGGGAGCAAUCUCUGCAUGACGUAGCGAAGCUAACGCGUUAAGUUCUCCGCCUGGGGAGUACGGCCGCAAGGUUA
rnacentral:rRNA from 1 species